AAUCAUCACCCGGAACGAACGCAAUGAGAAAGCGGAAAGGCGGAAAUCGACUCAUCGAUGCAAAGGACCUACCGAUUGCUCUUAAAUAGAGAUUAUUCCUUACAACGGCGGAUCUUCAUUAUGAGAUACCGUUAAAAAGAAUAGGAGAACCAUUGAAAAACAUCCCAAAGAAGCUUUGGACAAGUGGUUAGAUAGAUGAGUGGACCUUGGUUGAGCAUGAGAUCAAGCAAUCAGGUAUCGAAAGGAACUUCGAUAUAUGGGAAGACUUCUUUCUCGCCAACACAACUACCGAUCGACAACCGGUAAUGAUACCGGAAGGGAGAGGUUAAGAUAGGAGCAAAAUGGAGCCCCUGCUUCGUGCGGAGAGUCAAUGACUUCCGUUCAGAAUAUAUAGGGAGAAAGGGUAUCUGAAGCAGGAUAGUCGCAAUCUAGAUCAUCCUUGGACAGAAUGUGAUUACCUCAAUCCAAGACCUACCCACCACCA
rnacentral:sRNA from 1 species